rnacentral:rRNA from 1 species
GAAUGAGCCUGCGAGUCAGUGGCAUGUUGCGUGGUUAACCAUGAGUGUGGGGAGCCGUAGCGAAAGCGAAUCCUAAUCUAGGGUGUGUGUGGCAUGUUCUGGACCCGAAGCGGGGUGAUCUACCCAUGGCCAGUGUGAAGCAGCUGUAAGAGGUUGUGGAGGCGCGAACCCACGUAGGUUAAAAACUGCGGGGAUGAGCUGUGGGUAGGGGUGAAAGGCCAAUCAAACUGGGAGAUAGCUCGUACUCCCCGAAAUGCAUUUAGGUGCAGCG